rnacentral:misc_RNA from 1 species
CCGAGUGAGGGCCCCCGGCCCGACCUCCAACCCUUUGUUGACCAACACCUGUUGCCUCGGGGGCGACCCGGCCUCCGCGCCGGGGCCCCCGGUGGACCGUCUCAACUCUGCAUCUGUGCGUCGGAGUACUUUGCGAAUCAAUCA